GCUCCCGUAGCUCAGUUGGAUAGAGCGGAGCUUUCCUAAAGCUCAGGUCGCAGGUUCGAUCCCUGCCGGGGGUACCU
rnacentral:tRNA from 1 species